rnacentral:rRNA from 1 species
AUGAACGCUGGCGGCGUGUUUAAGGCAUGCAAGUCGAACGUGGUUCCGACGCAAGUCGGAAUCUAGUGGCAAACGGGUGCGUAACACACUGGCAACCUACCUCCGAGUCGGGGAUAGCCCGCCGAAAGGCGGAUUAAUACCCGAUAGUAAUGCGGGGACACAAGUCAUUCGCAUUUAAAGUUUUAAUACUUGGAGAGGGGCCUAUGGCCUAUCAGCUAGUUGGUGAGGUAACGGCUCACCAAGGCGACGACGGGUAGGGGGCGUGAGAGCGCGACCCCCCUCACUGGGACUGAGACACUGCCCAGACUCCUACGGGAGGCUGCAGUCGAGAAUAUUCCACAAUGGGCGAAAGCCUGAUGGAGCGACGCCGCGUGCAGGAUGAAGGUCUUCGGAUUGUAAACUGCUUUUAUAGGGGAAGAAUUUGUGACUGUACCCUAUGAAUAAGAGGUUGCUAACUCUGU